rnacentral:rRNA from 1 species
GAUGAACGCUGGCGGCGUGCCUAAUACAUGCAAGUCGAGCGAACAGACGAGGAGCUUGCUCCUCUGACGUUAGCGGCGGACGGGUGAGUAACACGUGGAUAACCUACCUAUAAGACUGGGAUAACUUCGGGAAACCGGAGCUAAUACCGGAUAAUAUAUUGAACCGCAUGGUUCAAUAGUGAAAGACGGUUUUGCUGUCACUUAUAGAUGGAUCCGCGCCGCAUUAGCUAGUUGGUAAGGUAACGGCUUACCAAGGCAACGAUGCGUAGCCGACCUGAGAGGGUGAUCGGCCACACUGGAACUGUGACACGGUCCAGAGUCCUACGGGAGGCAGCAGUAGGGAAUCUUCCGCAAUGGGCGAAAGCCUGACGGAGCAACGCCGCGUGAGUGAUGAAGGUCUUCGGAUCGUAAAACUCUGUUAUUAGGGAAGAACAAAUGUGUAAGUAACUAUGCACGUCUUGACGGUACCUAAUCAGAAAGCCACGGCUAACUACGUG